rnacentral:rRNA from 1 species
CCUACGGGAGGCAGCAGUGAGGAAUAUUGGGCAAUGGAGGCAACUCUGACCCAGCCAUGCCGCGUGAGUGAAGAAGGUUCUCGGAAUGUUAAGCUCUUUCGGACGUGACGAUGAUGACGGUAGCAUCUAAAGAAGCCCCGGUCAACUUCGUGCCAGCAGCCGCGGUAAUACGGAGGGAGCACGCGUUGUUCGGAAUUACUGGGCGUAAAGGGAGUGUAGGCGGUUUAGUAAGAUAGUGGUGAAAUCCCAGAGCUUAACUUUGGAAGUGCCAUUAUAACUAGUAGACUAGAAUUACAGAGAGGAUAGUGGAAUACCCAGUGUAGAGGUGAAAUUCGUAGAUAUUGCGUAGAACACCAGUGGCGAAGGCAACUAUCUGGCUGUACAUUGACGCUGAGGCUCGAAAGCAUGGGGAUCAAACAGGAUUAGAUACCCUUGUAGUC